rnacentral:lncRNA from 1 species
UUAUAUUUAGGAAUAGACUGCCCUCUCUCGCUCCUUCUCUCCCCCCUCUCUCUCGCGUGUGCUUCUCUAGAUUGGAUCUAGAUCAUUCACCUCUCUUUAGUAUUUCGGUAGUCCUUGUUAUAUAGUUCAGAGGGAUUGUCUUAUUUUUUCAAAAGUUUGUCAAAAAUAUAUGUAAUAAUUUGUAGAGAGAUAUGUCCUUGUUUGUAACUACAUGAGCAUGUAAGCUGUUUUUUUUAGGAACGGAUACAUAAACUGUCUGUAUUCGGUAUUAUACGGAGCACAGAAGAAGAGAAAGAAGGGAUCCAAACAGGCAGAAGCAUCUCGAGCCUUCCUCUCACUAUCAAGCAAGUGGACCUA